rnacentral:SRP_RNA from 1 species
GCCAGGUAAGGUGGCGCGUGCCUGUAGUCCCAGCUACUCGGGAGGCUGAGGUGGGAGGAUCACUUGAGCCCAGGAGUUCUGGGCUGUAGUGUGCUAUGCCAAUCGGGUGUCUGCACUAAAUUCGGCAUCAAUAUGGUGACCUUCCGGGAGUGGGGGACUACCAGGUUGCCUAAGGAGGGGUGAGUGACCUGGCCCAGGCUGGAAACGGAGCAGGUCAAAACUCCUAUGCUGAUCAGUAGUGGGAUCGCACCUGUGAAUAGCCACUGCACUCCAGCCUGGGCAAUGCAGUGAGACCCCAUCUCU